UUGCUACAAGAAUUGAAACUACCCUCAAUUUAUUCAUUGAAAAAAGUUUAUAUUGUAUGUACAGAGAACAGCAGAAACAUAUCUUAAUGAUACACUGUUGUAAAAAGGAAAAUUGCACGGUGCUUACAUAUUGGUCAUUUUUUACCAGCAUAGUACCAUAUUGUGGAUAAUAAAACACAAUGAAGGAUGGCUAUUAAAACACAAUAAAACAAUAACAAUAUAUUUCUCAUUUCUCCCAGGACUUUAAAACAUCCCCCGAAACAAUAGCUUUAUGGGAAAAAUCCAUAUGUCACAGAGGCGGUGCACAAACAUUAAUUAAACAACACAAAUAAUAAAUGUGCAUUAUGGGAUAUUAUCAAAUUUGCAUAUGAGGAGGGGGGAAAAAAAGACUCAUUAGAUAUUGCAGGCACCUCCCCAGUUCAUGACGAGACACACCAGUUAAAACAGCUGCUGUGUCAGAGCUGAGGCCCCUCACACAAACACUCAGCUGCUGCUACUUUCAUCUAUCCAAAGCAGACCCAGUAAUUCUGCCCCAGAAAAAAAAAAAAAAAAAAACAACAACAAAUGUGUACAACUGACAGACAGAUGAAGCAGAUAAAUGUAGAGAAUAAGAAGAAGAGACAGCAAAAGUGAGCGCUGCCUCGUUGGUAACCUCUUGUUUGUACUGCAGACUCAGAGGAAUAGUUGUGAUUACUCCAUUGACUGAAUCAUCUGCAAGGUCAGGCCUCCCAUCUUCUCUCCCUCCCACUCCUCUGCUCCUCUCCCACUCAACAGCCAAGUGGUUCAUAUGGCUGCCAAGACAUAUUCAUAGACAUAUUGGAGCAUCCAGUUACUGGCAGCGCUUACAGACACUUAAACACAUGUCCACCUACACACACACACACACGCUGGAAAAUUGGUAGACAAACAAGCAUACUAGUGCUCUAUUUUACAUUCCCUUUCAUUCAUUUCUAUAUGCUUGUGAGGACCACAAACCUCCUAAACUAUACUGUCACCAAUGAAUAAAUACUAGCCAUGAGCUUUCUCUUAAUCCUAAAUCUAGUCAGAACCCUAAACCCAGAGCUCAGGAAAUGACUGAGGCUUAGAGGCGCAAAUUCAUUUGAAUAUUAAAAAAUGGGACAACGUUUUUCCCUGCUUGUUGAAAACAGUUGCCAAUACAGGCCUGUCUCUCAAACAUUAUAUUGCAGUACCUAAACUACGUCACAUUUGUUUGUGACUAACCCUGUAUCACAAAUAUGUUUCAAAUCAACAUCUUUGUCAUUUAUUUUAUUGUUUUAGUGUAAAUCAUUUUCAACCAACCAAUCAUACAUUAGAUGGGCUAGGAUUAAUCUCCCCAAAAACCCAAACAAACAGAGGAGAUGCUUCAAACAUGUUGGAAGCCAACUCAUUGUAUUUUCCGAAACCUAACCAAGUAGUUCUAGCACCUAAACUUAGCCAAACCUAAGUCUAACAAUAAUGGUCCCACAUGUAAUGUAAACCCUGUUCUGAUGACUGAAAGUACUAUUGCCGUGUGGCUCCUUUACACCCUUCAAUGCACAACAUGGGUCAAAAGUGACCCAAAUCCAAUGGAAAAAUGGGUAUCUCCUGACCCACACUGUGCAUCAAAAGGUUAAACUGGAAACGUUUUCUACUACAUCACAGUCUUAAAGUUUUGGGAAAAAAAUACAUUUCGGUCGUACAAAAAUAAGAAUGAAGUUAAGUAGUUAUAAAAUAUAUGUUUCAAAAUCAUCAUAUGCUCCAUGUUCAGAAUAAUUUGGUCCCAUUCUGGCUUAAGCUCCAUCCACACUAAUACAUCCAUCCAUUAUCUACACUCCGCUUAGUCCUCAUUAGGGUCACAGGAGGACUGGAGUCUAUCCCAGCUGACUGAGGGUGAAGGCAGGGGACACCUGGACAGGUAACAGUCUAUCACAGGGCUACACAUAGAGACAAACAAUCACACUCACAUUCACACCUACAGACAAUUUAGAAUCAACAAUCAACCUGAGCAUGUUUUUAGACUGUGGGAGGAAGCUGGAGAACCUGGUGAGAACCCACACAUGUACAGGGAGAACAUGGAGACUCCGUACAGAAAGCUGUCAGAUUGGGACGCUAACCAGGGAUCUUCUAGCUGCAAGGCGAUGGUGCUAACCACUGACCCACUGUGCAACCCACACUAAUACAUAUUGUUCAAAAAUGAUCUCAGUUUAGGUGUGCAUUUUAGUGCUGUUUCAGAAAUCUAUACGCAUACUCAUGCCUGAAAAUUCAUCUCACAUGACUAUUAACAUCCGUCAUGCAAGUGCUGGUGUCAGCAAAAAGCAGCAGCUUGUUUUAUUAGUUGUAGGAAAUAUGAUGGAGGAAGAACAGCAGUUGUCAGAAGGAUGACAAAGAGAAAGCGAACACUGGUGUCUAUCAUUGUUUCUAAAAGCCUCUGUCUCUGAUUGUCUAGACUAAAUGUGACCUCUGAGUCUUCAGACUAAAGCAGGGUGAGAAACAUUUCAAAAAGUUUCCACUUUAGGGGUCCUAAAUGCCCGGAGUAGUGUAGACGUUAGAUGUAAACACAGCAGAAGUGAUGCAUUUUAAAAUUAAAUAAUGUGGAGUGAAAGCACCGUAAAACUAAAAUCACUUGUCCAGUGACAAUAUAACAGAACACAUUCAUCAUAACGCAGCAUAUUGUAUCACGACAACAGUAAGUGAUGAACGCUAAAAGAUAAAGUCGUGGUAGAGGAGGAAUCUGAUUCUCAACCUCCUCAGAUAUACACCAUAGUCUGACUGUCCUGUUUUCUCAGAGGAACCUGGUUUACUGAGCACAUAUAAGAGUAAACUUCGCCCUUCAAGAAAAAUUGACAUUAACUGGCCUGACAAUCUAAAGUUUAUAUUCCUGUUUUAUCAAGGGUGGAAGUACAAGAACACAUUCAGUCAUAUACACAUACACUACCAUUCAAAAGUUUGGGGUCACCCAGACAAUUUCAUGUUUUCCAUGAAAACUCACACUUUUAUUCAUGUGCUAACAUAACUGCACAAGGGUUUUCUUAUCAUCAAUUAGCCUUUCAACACCAUUAGCUAACACAAUGUAGCAUUAGAACACAGGAGUGAUGGUUGCUG
ensembl:lncRNA